UUACAAAUAGGUAUAACUUUUUCGUACCUUUUCAGUAACUUUUUUGUACUCCUGAUAAAAGGUACAAAAAAGUUAUAACUUUUCGAUACCUUAAUUUAAACUUAAACUUUACUAGUGUACCUUUUUGUAACUUCUCUGGACUUUAAAAAAUUCUGGUAUAACUUUUAGUACCUUUUUCUGGACUUAGAAAAAAAUUGCACUGCUGGUGAAAAACUUUGAACAUUUUUAGUAUAACUUUUUGUACCUUUUCUGGACUUAGAAAAAAAUUGCAAUGCUGGUGAAAAACUUUGAAUAUUUUUGGUAUAACUUUUUGUACCUUUUCUGGACUCAGAAAACAAUGCCAAUUCUUGUGAAAAACUUUGUAACUUUAAAGUUAGAACAUUUUUGGUACAGUGGAACCCAGUUACAUAUAUAUAUCGGUUAUAAUGAGAUUUUCCCCCCAUGUACCCAUUUUUUCCUUCUUUAACUAGGCAAAAAAAUAUCAUUUAUUAUUAUAUGGUCAAAGGUAGGAACCCGCUUAUUAUGGUGUUUUUUUUCUGCUGUGAAUUGAUUUUAAAAGUAAGUUGUCCAUGUGAAACACCUGGACAAUUACGUAAUAGGUCCGGCUAACUGUACAUCGCCCGAGGUAAUCAUCGGUCCACUUCAGGUAAAUUUUUCACACCUCGCUCCACCCCAGUCAGCGGAAAACAAUAGAUCGACCAUCGCUUGCUGGUCAUACAUUUUGGUCUUAACAAAACAUAUGGUGCAGUUAAUUGCUGUAGGACUGUAUAUCAAAUUAAAAUAAUUAGACCUACUGAACACAAAUUCCGAUAAGACAACGAGCAUGCCUUUCACAAAUAUUCACGGUUACCUUGACCAAUCAUGUGAGAAAAUCAUGCCGAUUUCAAUGAAAAUAUUACUUCAGAAGGAAGACCUGUGUAUUUAAUCAUUUAAGCAAUAGUUUCUCAAUUGCAUUAGAAGUCGAUUUCCCGUGUUUCCGUUGAAAAAGAGUCAAAUUCGAGACAUACAUUUGUAACGACAGCAUGGUGCCGGAAAUCGUUCCAAAGGUUUUACGUUAUUGUCGUAAACAACUUACGACGGCUGCUUGGUUAUUGUUACAAAGGGAAUAUUUUUUGUUUUCAAUUAUUAUGGUUGUGUCCAUACUAUUUGUAUUUAACAAUAAAUAGUUAUGAUUAAUAUGAUGUAGGACUUUAUCGUUAUUGCAGCGACGCCCUAUGCGAAAAAUUAAUCUCGCGUGACUAUAAAUAGCCUUAUCAAAUUGGCCAAUGAAAAGCGCGCGGGUAAAUUUUGUAUUCGAUCGACCUCUAGAUUUUGAACUCUAACCCGGCGAGUCACAAGAAGUAAACAAAAUAUUGGAACGUGUUUUGGUUAACUGGAAAGACGAUACCUACUUCAUCAUAUCCUUGAAGACAUUGGAACGUCCGUGAAAGAGCUUGGUAUAUACGCAUUUGCUGAUGAAAUCCUUCAUGAAUCCCAGGUUUUCUGGGGAAUAUCAUGGGAAGAUCGUCGCCAUUUCAGGGAAUAUUUCAGAUGAUAACAAGAGCUGUGCACACUGAUGGGGGAAAAUACAGGCAGAAACAACAGAUGAAGAAUUCUCAGCUCCACCUCAUGAGUCUGUUAUAGAGGUCCAUGAACCUCCCCCUCAACCCCCUGCUGCAAAGAGAAUCAGUGCCGAAAACAAAUCAAACAAAGAUGGUGGAGCUUAUACCUGGGACUGGGGUUUAUGUGUAUCCCAAACACAUAAAAACUACACAGAGGAAGACGAAGGGGAACAGGUCGACAGAUAUUUGAUGUCAGUGUUCUUCACCAACACUGAGCUGGUCAACCUGGGAAAGGUUUGAACCAGACCAUUGUUUGAGCAAUAAUUGAUUAUGCUGAGGCGAUUCAUGGGAAAAGUGGCCUGUCAGAAAUCAAGUUUUCAAUGAGGACAAAAAUCAGUGCUUUGGUCAGCUUGGCCAGGAGGAACUCAACCACAUAGAACAAAUGAGACAUUUCAACUUUUAAGAACUAUUAAUAUGAUUGUUUGUUGUAACUUUA